rnacentral:rRNA from 1 species
CUUGGUCACGUACGUACGUACUUCGUCAUGUUCGUACGUACUAGGUCAUAUGUACUGGUGAUCUUCGUACGUACGUGGUCAUAGGUACUUGGUCGUGUGUACAUACGUACUUGGUCAUGUUCGUACGUACUAGGUCUUAGGUACUUCGUCAUGCGUACAUACGCUAGUCACGUUCGUACGUACUAGGUGUUACGUAUCGUGUGUACAUACGUACUUGGUCAUGUUCGUACGUAUGGUCGACCUCGACCUACAAGGAGCAGCAAAGGAAGUUGUAAAAGUCGUAGUUGAGGCCACAGCUGACGUAGUUCAAGUUGUAAGUUCAGUUACGGUUCGUACGGUACGGCAGCAGCAGCGGCGGCGGUGGCGGCCUAAGGUACAAGUUCAAUUAUGGUUAUAGCUGUACUUGCCUUCAACCGGCUCCGGCCGCAGUGGCUCACCUCCAACCGAUCGGACGGUGGAUUACCAACCACUAGAAGGUUACUCAGGGUUGGAGCAAGCAGCGCGGUCGGUACUGGCGCAGGUACUGACCGCAGAGGCGUAGGUGCCGACCGCGGGCAGGUGCCGGCCACAGAGGCGCCGGUCGUGGAUGCGUAGGUGCCGGCCGCAGAGACGCCGGCCGCGGAGACGCCGGUGCCGGUACUGGCGCAGGUGCCGGUCCGAGUCGAAGUCGUAUGUGUACGAGUACUCCAAGUAGGAUACCAUU